rnacentral:lncRNA from 1 species
CCCUAAUAACUCUUUUGGCAGUUAUAUAAUAACUGUUUGACCAUUAACAUCCCCUAAUAACUAUUUGACGGUUACCAUCUAUAUGUCAGUUUUCACCAUUUGUUAUAGAGAUGUAUGCAGUAGAUUUGUAAUUGAGUAUGGGAAUAAUAUUCAAGAUUCAAUACAAUUUCCACAUUAGUCAGAUUAGUUUCUUAUCACGUUAUCAGCACGACUAGACUCUUCACUACGGUUUGGCCGAUAAUCUACAAGCAAUCACAAGGAAUCGGUGUUUCAUAUCCCUGACAACAUCACCGAUUCGUUGCUUCGAUAUUCACAACAUUUUCUGUUCAUCACACCAGGUACACAUCAUUACAACCUCUCAUAUUUGCUGCAUCUGUAUGUGUUAUCAUCGUUCACAUAGUGUGUGUAUACAUCUGCAUAUCUAAAGGAAGAUACAUAACUUUCAAUUUUUGAAACAUCUGCAUAU